GUGCCAGCAGCCGCGGUAAUACAGAGGUCUCGAGCGUUCAACGGAUUCAUUGGGCUUAAAGCGUACGUAGGCGGGUCUGCAGGCGUCGUGUGAAAGCCCUCGGCUCAACCGAGGAACUGCAUGGCGAACCGCAGAUCUUGAGACAAGUAGGGGCGGUCGGAACGAUAGGUGGAGUGGUGAAAUGCGUUGAUAUCUAUCGGAAUGCCGAAGGUGAAAGCAGGCCGCUGGGCUUGGUCUGACGCUGAGGUACGAAAGCGUGGGGAGCAAACGGGAUUAGAUACCCUCGUAGUCC
rnacentral:rRNA from 1 species